rnacentral:tRNA from 2 species
UUUUAUAUAGUUUAGAAAAACAUCACACUUUCAUUGUGAAGACAGGGCAAUCCCUUGUAAUAC